rnacentral:rRNA from 1 species
GACGAACGCUGGCGGCGUGCUUAACACAUGCAAGUCGAACGGAAAGGCCCUGCUUUUGUGGGGUGCUCGAGUGGCGAACGGGUGAGUAACACGUGAGUAACCUGCCCUUGACUUUGGGAUAACUUCAGGAAACUGGGGCUAAUACCGGAUAGGAGCUCCUGCUGCAUGGUGGGGGUUGGAAAGUUUCGGCGGUUGGGGAUGGACUCGCGGCCUAUCAGCUUGUUGGUGGGGUAGUGGCUUACCAAGGCUUUGACGGGUAGCCGGCCUGAGAGGGUGACCGGCCACAUUGGGACUGAGAUACGGACCAGACUCCUACGGGAGGCAGCAGUGGGGAAUAUUGCACAAUGGGCGGAAGCCUGAUGCAGCAACGCCGCGUGCGGGAUGACGGCCUUCGGGUUGUAAACCGCUUUCGCCUGUGACGAAGCGUGAGUGACGGUAAUGGGUAAAGAAGCACCGGCUAACUACGUG